UGGGGAAUAUUGCACAAUGGGCGCAAGCCUGAUGCAGCAACGCCGCGUGAGGGAUGACGGCCUUCGGGUUGUAAACCUCUUUUGGCAGGGAAGAAGCGAAAGUGACGGUACCUGCAGAAAAAGCACCGGCUAACUACGUGCCAGCAGCCGCGGUAAUACGUAGGGUGCAAGCGUUGUCCGGAAUUAUUGGGCGUAAAGAGCUCGUAGGCGGUUUGUCGCGUCUGCUGUGAAAACGCGAGGCUCAACCUCGCGCCUGCAGUGGGUACGGGCAGACUAGAGUGUGGUAGGGGAGAUUGGAAUUCCUGGUGUAGCGGUGGAAUGCGCAGAUAUCAGGAGGAACACCGAUGGCGAAGGCAGAUCUCUGGGCCAUUACUGACGCUGAGGAGCGAAAGCGUGGGGAGCGAACAG
rnacentral:rRNA from 1 species